GGAGGUGCAAGCGUUAUCCGGAUUUACUGGGGUUUAAAGGGGUGCGUAGGCGGCGCAGUAAGUCAGUGGUGAAAGCCCAGAGCUCAACUUUGGGAAUUGCCAUUGAAACUGCUGUGCUUGAGUACGGAUGAAGUGGGCGGAAUGUAGCAUGUAGCGGUGAAAUGCUUAGAUAUGCUACAGAACACCGAUUGCGAAGGCAGCUCACUAGACCGUUACUGACGCUGAUGCACGAAAGCGUGGGGAGCGAACAGGAUUAGAUACCCUGGUAGUCCACGCCCUAAACUAUGUUCACUCGGUAUGUGCGAUAUACUGUACGUGCCCAAGCGAAAGCGUUAAGUGAACCACCUGGGGAGUACGUUCGCAAGAAUG
rnacentral:rRNA from 1 species